GAUGAACGCUAGCGGCAGGCUUAAUACAUGCAAGUCGAGGGGCAGCACAGAUAGCAAUAUUGGGUGGCGACCGGCAAACGGGUGCGGAACACGUACACAACCUUCCUUUUGGUGGGGGAUAGCCUUUGGAAACGGAGAUUAAUACCCCAUAAGAUAUUGGGACCGCAUGGUUUUGAUAUUAAAGAUUUAUUGCCAGAAGAUGGGUGUGCGUAUGAUUAGGUAGGUGGUGAGGUAAAGGCUCACCAAGCCGACGAUCAUUAACUGGUGUGAGGGCACGACCAGUCACACGGGCACUGAGACACGGGCCCGACUCCUACGGGAGGCAGCAUUAAGGAAUAUUGGUCAAUGGACGGAAGUCUGAACCAGCCAUGCCGCGUGGAGGAUGAAGGUCCUCUGGAUUGUAAACUUCUUUUCUCUGGGGCGAAAAACAGCUAUUCUUAGUUGCUUGACAGUACCAGAGGAAUAAGCACCGGCUAACUCCGUGCCAGCCGCCGCCGUAACAC
rnacentral:rRNA from 1 species